rnacentral:rRNA from 1 species
UACGGAGGGUGCAAGCGUUAUCCGGAUUCACUGGGUUUAAAGGGUGCGUAGGAGGGCAGGUAAGUUAGUGGUGAAAUCUCCAAGCUUAACUUGGAAACUGCCGUUGAUACUAUCUGUCUUGAAUAUUGUGGAGGUGAGCGGAAUAUGUCAUGUAGCGGUGAAAUGCUUAGAUAUGACAUAGAACACCAAUUGCGAAGGCAGCUCACUACACAAUCAUUGACUCUGAGGCACGAAAGCGUGGGGAUCAAACAGG